UGUGGAUGUGAGAUCUCCGGCUGGCAUCUUACAAAUGAAGAGAUGCGAGACUGUAAGACUGCGUCUCCUGUGGCUGCACCAACAAAAGGCAGCCUGGAGGAGGGAGGCGUAGACCGAGAGGGUCACGCUGCAGGAGCGGCAAAAGAAGCCAAAGAAGCCCGGGAGAAUCGAGCAAGAAAAUUUGCAACAAAAAAAGUUCCCUUCCUGAAGCACAACUCAAGUUUUUUCUAAUCAUCCAACCAAAGGAAGUCAGCAUAAACUCAUGACAUUUUAGUAAAAAGUACAAUUCUCAUGUCAUCCAUGAACAGGGCAACAAAACAAAAAAGGAACCUCAUUCUCAGCAUCACCGAGGUCACACAACAUGAAGAGUGUGUCCUCCGGAGCGGCGUUAAACCUGCCGCUCUCCAGAGGACACACUCGUCCCUGAGCGUAACUGCACACAGCCAUCUCUGCCCUUUCUUUAAAUUAGACUUCACAUAGAGCUCUACACUGUAACUAUACACCGUCUCUAUCUAUAUCUACGUACUGUUUCAACUCAGCACUGAGUCCAGUCCAAAAUUUAACUCCCAAAACUGAAAUACUUCUAUAUUUUACAUUCAUUCUCACUUUACAUGUUUCAAAAUGAACAACCCACUUAAAUUAUAAUUUAUUUCUCUUUAUUAAAAAAAUUGACACAGACCGAA